CACCGCCCGUCACACCACGAAAGCAAGCAACACCCGAAGUCGGUGAGCUAACUCGCAAGAGAGGCAGCCGCCGAAGGUGGGGCUCGUGAUUGGGGUG
rnacentral:rRNA from 1 species